rnacentral:rRNA from 1 species
UACGGGGGGGGCAAGCGUUGUUCGGAAUUACUGGGCGUAAAGGGCUCGUAGGCGGCCAACUAAGUCAGACGUGAAAUCCCUCGGCUUAACCGGGGAACUGCGUCUGAUACUGGAUGGCUUGAGUUUGGGAGAGGGAUGCGGAAUUCCAGGUGUAGCGGUGAAAUGCGUAGAGAUCCGGAAGAACACCGGUGGCGAAGGCGGCCUGCUGGGCAGUUUAGCUGACACUGAGGCGCGACAGCGUGGGGAGCAAACAGG